ncrna:Pseudomonas aeruginosa 2192 radC RNA
AUGAUGAGCGCGUGAUCUGCUGACGUUGUCAGCGACAUGCCCCAUGCAGCUCGGAUCCGAAGUGCUGCAGCACAGCCCAGCGUGUUGAUCCAACCCAAGACCGUAUAGCUUCUGGUAGCACGGUCGGUCGGCCUCGGUCGAUAGAAGC